GGUUCUAGCUUAGUGGUAGAGCGCUUGCCUAGCAUGUGUGAGACCCUGGGAUGAAUCCCUGGCACCA
rnacentral:tRNA from 1 species